GAUUGAAUAGUUUGAUCUCCUCACUGUGCAAGCAACUCUGAAGAGUCUUUUCCAACACCACAGUUCAAAAGCAUCAAUUCUCUGGUGCUCAGCCUUCUUUAUGGUCCAACUCUCACAUCCAUAAAUUACUACUGGAAACACCAUCGCUUUGACUAGAUGAACCUUUGUUGGCAAAACAAUGUCUCUG